rnacentral:lncRNA from 1 species
GAUCAGCGCGGUGUGCCAGCCACAGCGCGCCGGCCGCGGCAGCCAUUGGAGGGUGAACCAACGGCAAAGGAAGACCUUUCUCUCUGUCUCUCUCUCUCACUGUCCACUCUGCCUGUCAAAAAAAAAAAAGUAGAAACUCCUACCUUUGAGUAUUUACCAUGUGCAGAACAUUUGACCACGCAUCUGAUUCCAGAGACUGUCGGCUCCAGGACUUGCCUGCAUUCAGGACACAUGUGUUAAAUUGGGAUGGGGCAGGGAAGGGAGGCCAGCUGUAGGAGCUAAGCCACGAUGCAGUCUAUGGUGACACUUGGAAGCCAGGAGAUAGUGCAGCCUUUAUACCAUGAGGGCAUUGAGAAAGUGGGGUUUUGACAAUGCAGUGAUUGGAGAGAGGAUGAUUGUGCUGUUGUUUCAUCUAGACCACACACAGACUGAGCUCCUACUCUGCAGGGAGCACCACACUCAUCCCUGAAGUUUCAGAGGGAUGAAGAAGCCCAAGAAGUUGGCCCCAACAAGAAGAAGGAGGGCGAAAGCAGUUCCUCAGAAGAAGGACCUGAAAAUGAUCAAGAUAAGGCAUAAAGAAGUCCCUAGAAUCCAGCUUGAAGAGAUGAAGAAAGAAAAAAACUGAUUGCAAAACAUUGACAAAACUGUUCUUUAAACCUGAACUAAGUAACAUCCAUUAAUAGCUUAUCUUCUAUACUUUUCAGAUGUAUCUCACAUCAUUUCUUCAGUCUCAAAAUAAAAGCUGUUUGAAAUGAUAAGCUGCA